CUGUGCUAGAUGGGGAGUUAGCGGUGCCCUGUAACCUGCAAUCCGCUAUAGCAGGGUCGAAUUCCCAUCCGAGGCCUGCUCCUCCAACGUCGGCCGGCCACGACAAUCGGUGAUGAUGGUACAAGUCCUCCGCAAUGGAGUCGUGCCCAACCCCGUCAGGACCGGAAGGUAGCAGCGGUAAGCAUUGAUUCCAUGUGCCGGGGGUUUACUUGGCCGGAGUCGGUUGUUGUGCGUCGCACGUGGAAAGGAAGGGUCGGAGAUGGGUGCACAG
rnacentral:SRP_RNA from 1 species